UACGUAGGGUGCAAGCGUUGUCCGGAAUUAUUGGGCGUAAAGAGCUCGUAGGCGGUCUGUCACGUCGGCCUGUGAAAACCCGGGGGCUCAACCCCCGGGCCUGCAGUCGAUACGGGCAGACUAGAGUGCGGUAGGGGAGACUGGAAUUCCUGGUGUAGCGGUGAAAUGCGCAGAUAUCAGGAGGAACACCGGUGGCGAAGGCGGGUCUCUGGGCCGUAACUGAUGCUGGAGGAGCGAAAGCGUGGGGAGCGAACAGGG
rnacentral:rRNA from 1 species